UACGUAGGGUGCAAGCGUUGUCCGGAAUUAUUGGGCGUAAAGAGCUCGUAGGCGGUUGGUCGCGUCUGCUGUGAAAACCCGAGGCUCAACCUCGGGCCUGCAGUGGGUACGGGCCGACUAGAGUGCGGUAGGGGAGAAUGGAAUUCCUGGUGUAGCGGUGGAAUGCGCAGAUAUCAGGAGGAACACCGAUGGCGAAGGCAGUUCUCUGGGCCGUAACUGACGCUGAGGAGCGAAAGCAUGGGGAGCGAACAGGAUUAGAUACCCUGGUAGUCCAUGCCGUAAACGUUGGGCGCUAGAUGUGGGGACCAUUCCACGGUUUCCGUGUCGCAGCUAACGCAUUAAGCGCCCCGCCUGGGGAGUACGGCCGCAAGGCUAAA
rnacentral:rRNA from 1 species